rnacentral:tRNA from 1 species
GUGAAGUUAGUUUAAAAAUUUAAAAUAACAAAUUGUGGUCUUGUAGAUAAAUUAAUUUACUUCACU